CAAUAGCGUAUACUAAAGUUGUUGCAGUUAAAAAGCUCGUAGUUGAAUUUCUGGUCGUGGCAAUCGGUCAGCCCCUCACGGGGUUCGUACCAGGUUGCUGCGUCCAUCCUCGGGGAGAGCAUAUCGGGCAUUCAGUUGUCUGGUGUGGGAUCCUCGUCAUUUACUGUGAGCAAAAUAGAGUGUUCAAAGCAGGCUUAGGCCGUUGAAUACAUUAGCAUGGAAUAAUAAGAUAGGACCUUGGUCUAUUUUGUUGGUUUGCGUUCCAAGGUAAUGAUUAAUAGGGAUAGUUGGGGGUAUUCGUAUUCAAUUGUCAGAGGUGAAAUUCUUGGAUUUAUGGAAGACGAACUACUGCGAAAGCAUUUACCAAGGAUGUUUUCAUUAA
rnacentral:rRNA from 1 species